rnacentral:lncRNA from 1 species
AAGACCCGUUGACCCCGGAGGACAAGGCUCUGAUUCUGGCCCACCAAGAGGAGCUCCAAGACCACAUUACUGCAGAGGCUCGUGCAGUCUUGGAUGCCGUGGUGAAUGAAAGCCGUCGCCGAUCUCCAGUCAUGAGGGGUCGUCGUUGUGACGUUCCUGGAGAUGACGUCACUUUGACAGCCCGCACGAUCCUGGACUACAUGGAGAGGACCGGCGGCCAGCGGUCUCCCACCGAUAGGGUCCGUCUGCUUCCUCGGCCCGUCAUCCUGGCGGCGGCAGAGGCCUCGCGCCUUCGUGCUUUGGAUCAGACUGGGAGGUCAUCUCAGAAGAAGAACAAUUAGUUUGUUUUUUUGUAAUUUUUUGUUCUAAGGGCGACUAAUGUUUCGUCGGCCAUGUAAUCUGUUGCCCGUACCGAAUGAAUGUAAUCGGC